GGGCUUCUGUGGGGGGCAGUGAUGAGAUUAGCUUUGGGACCCCGGCUUUUUGCCCGCAAGAGGAAGGGGACAUGGGCUAGUAUCGGCGUUGGGACAGGCGGGGGUAGUGGAGGGAGAAGAAGCAGGUGGAGCCACUGGCCGUGCUAGGGGUACUUCUGAUGCACCAGAAGGCAACCCCGCCAGAGACUUUAGUUCUGAGAAUUGGUAACAGAAAGCAAAUAGGAGUGACUGCAGCCGAGCGUUGGCGUUUGAAGGAAGAGCAUGAGGGAAAAACGCUACCUGCUGCGUUUCUAACAUCUCCCCAGAUCUGCCCUCAACCACCAAUUCCCCAACCUUGGGUCAGCCAAACUACCCACUCCUCUCCGCCCCGUACCCUUGUCAAGAAAUCUGCUGUGUAGGAAUACUGCCUAUUUGUGUUUAACUCCACGUGGGCUCCUUGGCUCCGUCCAGCUCAGUUCCGCUCUUUUACUAAGAUGCUCGUUGUAAUGCCCUGAACAUUACGUUCUUCCCAAGGUGUUCUAGCUAACCCAGUAGUAGAAUGUCUUCAUAUUUUCUUCCUUCUACUGGGGAAAGAGUACAUCAUUAUUCUUUACAAGGACAAUCCUAAAACUGCUCUUGAUCACAUUGCUUUCCAACUUGUGGAAUUCUUCAUCACAUUCAUCUACUCGGUGCCAUCAUUCAUCUUACUAAAACAUCUUUUUGGAUUGUGUCAUUUUUCUACUCAAACACCUCCAGUGCUGCAAGCUAUAUGUUGACCACUCAACGGAUUCUAAGUUCUUGGUAGGGGCAUUCACUGUCUGGCAGUUUGGCUCUAAUCCGAGCUGUAUUUUCCAGAACUGUACUACAAAACUUUUUCUCCUACUGCUCUUGUAUCUGGGCUGUUCAAUUUCCCCUAACACAUUGUAUAUUUUGUUUGUAUGUACUUACGAUAUGUCUCUACCUUAUUCUAUGUCUUGAAUCGUUUUGAGGACUUAAAUGGCCACUUCUUGUAUUACGCUUUCUCUGAUUAUCAUAUCAUAGGUAAAAGUGAUCCCUUUUUUCUUCCUUUUUACUCUUACAGCUCUUAUUUUGUAGUAGUUGUUUCAUUUAUUCAUUUAUUCAGUCAGUAUUGAUUGCAUGCUUACUCUGUCCUUGACACUGUUUUAAAUGUGAGAUAAUCAGUGAAUUGGGCGGACAAGGCACUUGCUCCCAUAGAGCUAAGAUUCUAGUUGGGAGAGAUAUACCGUAAAUAAUAAAAUUAUUAGAUAGAAAUACUGUGCAGAAAGUUGAGUAGGGUUUGGGGGAAGAGAGUGUCUUGCUGGUUCCUUUACAUUAUUAGUCAGGGACGACCUCUAUGAGAAUGUGAUUGAGGAAUGACUAAUUUAAUCAGGAAGGGUUAACACAAAGGAAUUGAAGAAGGCCAGUGUAGUUGGAGUGUAGUGGGUAAUGGGGAAAGGGUACAAGAUAAUUUUAGAGAAUAGAGUCCAGAAUCCUAGAAGUCUUUGGAAGCCAGGGCAUUGUUAUUUAAGAAUGGAAGAGGAUACAGAUUUUAGAGUCAGGUUUAGUUCUUUGUGUUUCAUUACUGAUCAUGUUGGAUUUCAUGGCACUAUAAAAAGCUCACCAAGUGACUUUGUUGUUAUAGAGAUCGAUGAACAGGGACAGUUAGUUAAUAAGGCCACUAAUGAAUGGAUUAGUAAAGUACUACCUGAGCCAAAUAAUUUUGCCAAAAAAACAAAACUUGAUUUUCAGAAUUUAUCCUUUAAAGAGGGAAGCAACCAAGAAGUCAAUAUUGUCACUGGGUGCUCUGAUGAUGACCAAAAUCAUCAGUCUGCUUCAGAAAAGGAAGAUACUAUCAAUGAUGGAACUUCCAAAGGUGAAGAAAAAGUUGAUGUUUUAAGCAACUUGUUAGAUGAAAAAACUAACGAAUUACUGAAUCACUUUGCCUGUGAUAUAAAAGAGAAGUGGAAUUCUAAAACUGAGCUAAUUGGAUCAUCUCCUGAAUUCUCAUUAGGCAGAAUCCUUGACAAAAACCAGAGGGCUAUUUUGCAUAGUGCUGUUAGGCAGAAAUUCCCCUUUUUAAUAACCGUUGGUAAAAACAGUGAGAUUGUUGUAAAACCAAAUCUUGAGUUUAAGGAACUCUGUCACUUGGUAUCUGAAGAAGAAGCAUUUGACUUUUUUAAAUAUUUGGAUGCAAAGAAAGAAAAUUCAAAAUUUACCUUUAAACCUGACACAAACAAAGACCACAGAAAAGCUGUCCACCAUUUUGUCAACAAAAAGUUUGGAAACCUUGUGGAAACCAAAUCUUUCCCUGAACUCAGUUACAAUGCUGGUAAUCCAAAUGUAGCGAUAACAGUAAGAUUUCGGGAAAAAACACACAAACACAGGAAAAGGUCUCUUUUUGAAUGCCGGGGUCAAAAAGUUAUAUACACAGCUUUUACCCUACGAAAAGAAAAUCUGGAAAUGUUUGAAGCACUUGGUUUUUUAGCUAUCAAACUUGGUGUGAUUCCUUCAGAUUUUAGUUAUGCAGGCCUAAAAGACAAGAAAGCCAUCACCUAUCAAGCAAUGGUUGUUAGAAAAGUGACUCCAGAGAGGUUGAAAAAUAUUGAAAAAGAAAUCGAAAAGAAAAGAAUGAAUGUGUUUAAUAUUCGAUCUGUAGAUGAUUCCCUUAGACUCGGUCAGCUCAAGGGAAAUCACUUUGAUAUUACCAUCAGAAAUUUAAGAAACCAAAUAAAUGAUUCUUCAAACCUGAGAGAGAGAAUUUUGGAGGCAAUAGAAAAUGUUAAGAAUAAAGGGUUUGUAAAUUACUACGGACCGCAGAGAUUUGGGAUGGGAAGGAAAGUUCACACCGACCAGAUUGGAUUGGCUUUGCUGAAGAGUGAAAUGGUGGAGGCUGUAAAAUUAUUUCUUACACCAGAAGAUUUGGAUGAUCCUGUAAAUAGAGCAAAGAAAUAUUUUCUUCAAACUGAGGAUGCUAAAGGCACACUUUCACUGAUGCCUGAAUUCAAAGUUCGCGAGAGAGCUCUGCUGGAGUCGUUGCACCGCUUUGGCAUGACGGAGGAGGGAUGUAUCCAGGCAUGGUUUUCUUUUCCCCAUUCAAUGCGCAUAUUCUACGUUCAUGCGUAUAGCAGCAAAAUUUGGAAUGAGGCAGUAUCUUACAGACUUGCAACCUAUGGAUCAAGAGUAGUAGAGGGUGAUCUGGUCUGUUUGGAUGAAGAUGUUGAUGAUGAACAUUUCACAAAUAGUAAAGUUCAUCUAGUAACGGAAGAAGAGGAAUCAGCUAACACAUAUGCAAUACAUCAGGUGGUUCUUCCAAUGCUUGGAUACAAUAUUCAGUACCCAAAGAAUAAAGUUGGGCAGUGGUACCAGGAAAUACUUAGCAGAGAUGGACUACAGACAUUGUAAGGUCUUGAAUAUAUUUUGGACCAAAUGAUGACCAGUCACCUAGGUUUUUGCAGUUUUCCUGGCCAUUCCAGGCCUUCAGAAGGAUAAUCUUUGGAUUAGUUUUAAUUUUCAAGGUUGUUUUUGAAACUGAGCCUCAGGAUUACUAAGAAUCCAGAGACCCUUAAGCCAUGAACUUGGUUUGAAAUUAAAUGACGGUGACUCCAGUCAUGUCAUAGAAGCCAAAACAAAUGUUCUUUUGAAGUCACCUUAUCCCAGGUUUUGAGUAAAUGCUCAAAGACAGUGAACAUCACAGAAGAAAGCAAGGCAUCAUGAAUGAGGGCAUAGAAGACAUGUAAGCCUUUGUUAAAUAUGUUUGUAAAUAUUUCAUGUUUUUAUGCUAUUUUGUUACAGAAACAAAAGACAGUAUAAAUAGACAUGCAGGACUUCAGAAUUCUAGACAUGGAUCUCAUGUUUAUCCUUUUUGAAGAAGUAAGAGACAAGCUUGAAAAUGUGCAGGGAACUAGAAGCAAAACACAAUUUAGCGUAUUUGAAAAAGAACCAACAGACUUUCUAGAAGUGAAAACUAUAAUAAUCAAAACUUAAAACUCAUUGUAUGAGUUCAGUAACAUUACACAAAAUUGAAAAGCAAACUGGUAAACUAAAAAGUAGUUCAGAAGGAACGCAGAAUGGAGCAAAAAUGAGAUUUUAAAAAAUACAGAGAUAUGGAGGACAGAGAGAAACUUUAAAAUACAUUUAAUUGGAAUCUGAAAGAAAGGAGAAAGAAUAAGGUAGAGGCAACAUUUGAAUAGGUAAUGGCUGAGAAUUUUCUGAAACUAGUAGGAUACCAAAAUAUGGGUUUAAGAAGUCCAGUGAAUCCCAAGCAGUCUAAGUAAAGAGAAAGCCAUCAAUAAUAAAAAGAAUCUUAAAAGCAGCCAGGGAAAGAUUAUUCUCAAGGAAUGAAUAAAGUGAUUGCUGACUUUCCAGAGCAAUGAUGAAAUAUAUUAAAAUAAUGAGAAAGUUUGCAACUGAGAACUGACUCACUAGAAGAGAUUCCAACCCCCCCCCAAAUAACCCCCCCAAAACAGCAAAAAACACUUCAGAGAGAGGGUAAAGGAUCCAAAAUCAAAAGCCUAAAAUGGAGGAAUGAAUGAUGAACAAGAAAAGUGGUAAAUAUGUGGUUAAAAUAUAAACAAAUGAUUGACUUUGUAAAUUGAUAAUGUCUCUAAUAUCUUCUGGGUUACAAAAGAAUAAUAAAACAGAGCCUGGGAGGGAACCGAAAGGAGUUAAUGAUCUAAGGUGGUUGUGUUAUCUGUAAAAAAGGGUAAAUAUAUUGAUCAACUUUAGUCUUCUGUAAAUUAGAAUUGUGUGGUAUAGUAUCUAUAAUAGUCACUAAAAUAAUAAAAACAGCUGUAACAUCCAAACUAAGUACAGGAUGAUUGCUCUAGUGUGUGUCCUACAAAUUAGAGCUUCAUGAUUAGUUUGAUAUACUUGAUAAGAGAAAUUUGAUGAAAAUACAAGAAUCAUUUACAUUAUCAUGAAAAAGAUUUAACAUUGAUUUUUUAAAGAAAGGAAGAGCUUCAAGAUAAUUUCAAGUGUUGUAAACUUUGAAUAAUUGUAAAAAAAUUCAAAAUGUACUAUUUUUUAGACACUGUCACAAGCACUAUUUUUUUAAUCAUAAAUUUUGACCAGGAAGUGUGUAUAGCUGUUUCACACACAAAAUCCAUUACUGAAACACUACAGUCAGAGAAACAAGCUCAAAUUUCUCUUUUUUUUUUUUUUAAAGAUUUUAUUUAUUUAUUUGAGACAGAGAGAAUGAGAGAGAGAGAGCACAUGAGAGGGGGGAGGGUCAGAGGCAGAAGCAGGCUCCCCGCCAAGCAGGGAGCCCGAUGCGGGACUCAAUCCAGGGACUCCAGGAUCAGGACCUGAGCCGAAGGCAGUCACUUAACCAACUGAGCCACCCAGGCGCCCAACAAGCUCAAAUUUCUCAUUAAAAUUUUGAAAAUACUUUAUUUUGAAACUGUAUAUUAACUCAACAGUAUCUUCUCUAGUAGUUGUAUUUCUUUCAUUUUCUGAUCGUAUUUAUAUUUAUAUAAAGAAAGGUAAUUUUUUUUUUCACUAACUCAUACUCCUGAAUUCUCUCAGUCUAUUUUAGUGUGAUACAGAUACCAUUUUCUACAUGUGAGGGGAAAAGUUUGGGGAACACUACAUUAUAUAGAGCCAGAUGGAGUUGGGGAAGAGGAUGAAGAGAAAAUUCCUCAUUAUCUUUAAUCAUCCUGCAUUUUAAGGCUACAUUAAAAAAAGAAAAAAUAUUAGAAAAUAUUAAUAUCUAUAAAUAUGAAUACUCUUAUUUAUUUCCUUUUCCUUUACCUUUCCUUUUCUCUCCUUUUGGUUCAUGCCCCUGUGCUCUCAGUCUGUAUUUGACAACUGAUUUGAUCAGUUCCAUAGCCACAAAAAGUCAUAAGUCGUUGGUUUCAUAAGAUACUUCUGUGACCUUUGUACUGAUGAUUGCUUAGUGUUCCUAAAAGAAAACUCAGAAGGAGCCAGCCUUCAACUUCAGUGCCUACUCUAAUUUCACAGUGAAAUAUAUCUUUGUACUUACAACCCCCUCACAGCUUAUCCAACUCUACUAGGUAUUCUUCUUCAUGUCCUAAUGCUCUAAGAAAAGCUGGGGGCUAUCCUACAAUUUUCUGUUUCUGGAGUGUUAGAAUGCUUGUUUUAUCAUGCAUUCACUUUCUAGAUGAGAAAUCAAAGUAUUAUCAUUAGCUGAAUUGCUCUAGUAAUUGCAGUUGAAUAAAAUUUCUCUUUACAGGAGCUAGUGGGAAAUAUUCUACAUGUAUUUAAUUAGACAAAUUAGAGAACUUAACAUUUUAAGUCAUUAGUUACUGGUUUUACAGUUGGGUUUAAUGUCAUCCAAAAGAGUAGACAGAACAAUAAGUCUUUAUAAGAUAGGAGCUAAACUUAGGUCUCUGCCAAAAUACCUUCAGGUCACUUAUAAUAUGAAUGCAGUUGUGCAAGUGGGCUUUUUCCUCCUUGUCCUGGAAAUCAUAUAAAAGCAAUAGGGAAAUUAACAUUUUUUAAAAAAAUCCUGCAAAGACUAUAAUAAGCAAACUUAAAGUAUGUAAGAGCUACCAAGGGCAGCUGAGAUCUGGACAAAAGUUGCAUGGCAAGAAGUGAAAAAAAGUAGCAGAUGGGUCCAAUAAUAGCAGAUCUCAAAAGCACAUGCAUUAAAGAAAAUAAUCUCUCUCUGAGGAUAAAGGUCCUGCCCUAAAGAGAAAAAGCUAUAUCUCUUGUUUGGAAGGGUCUGAGAAAUUGAGUAAGCAAAGUGGUAGCAAAAAACUGCCGAACCUGGUUUGGGGCUAAACAAAGCAUUGCAAACAAUGAUGUAUUUAUAGAAAGCAGAAGGGAGAAUCUCCAUCAAAUAACUGGUCCAAGAAAAUUCAGCUCUUUCAAUAGUGAGUAAUAAAGAAACUGGGCACAACCUCAAUACAAAGAUACUGUAAGAUAAACGUGGAAGAGAGGCACAAAAUUUAGCAACAGAUCACCAAAAGGUGGCCAUAUAGAAGAUAAAAAUUAUGGGACGCCUGGAUGGCUGAGUUUAUUAAGCGUCCAACCCCUGAUUUCAGCCUAGGUCUUGAUCUCAGGGUCAUGAGUUCAAGCCCUGCAUUGGGCUCUGUGCUGGGCAUGGAGCCUACUUAAAAAAAAAAAGAAAAAAAUUGUGACACACACUUUGCUUUGGAGAAGCAAUCAUUUCUAUGAAGGAAGUCUACAAAAAAAGAAAUGGAAGGAGAAAGAAAACAGUAGACAAAAAGAGGAGAGGAAAUCUGAGAUAGCAGAUUUCAAGAAAGAUGCAGAAGACAAAAGCAAUACUGUCAGAGAAAUAAAGAUGAAAUUGAAACAAGCACCAAAAAAAAAGUAGAUGGUGAGAAAAAUACAAUAAGGGACAGGAAAGAUAAGAAGAAUAAAAUUGAACUCUUCCAAAUAUAUGAAGAUUUAAGCACCUACAUGCACACAUGUAAGGAAAAUAAUAAAACACAAUGUUAAUGGUUAAGAUGUAAAAAGAUAACAAAAGACCUUCAUGUUUAUGGUACAAGAAAAUCUGAGACAAAAUAAAAAUUUACUUUUCUGUGGAAUUACAGAAGAGUCUUGGAUGCCUGGAAGGCUUGACGGACUGAGUACUAGGAUGAAUGAAUUCUUCCUAGCUAAGCAGAGAGCCAUAUGAGCUUCCAUAGUGGAGGGUGGAUAAACUCAACCUAACUAAAGCUGUAGGCCAGCUUCAGAUCAACUCAAAACCUAGGAAGAAUCCAAAUAAACAGUCUUUUUUUUUUUUUUCCCAAUAGCCAAAAAAGGAAAGAACUUACACUGUUUGGGAAAUAAAUAAAACAACACUGGUCCUUUAUACUUAAUGUUGGAAAUAGAAUUUUUAAAAUAAGACAUUAGAUGAAGCAAGAAAGUGUGAUCCAUACUGAAGAGAAAAUGGUGAAAUAUUAAACAGUUGCUCCGAGGAUCAGAAAAAAGGAAAUGAUAUCUGCACUCACCACUUUUUUUAUGUACUAGAGGUCCUCACCAGGUCCAGCAAUAAAGCAAAGAAAAGAAAUUAAAGGCAUCAAGUUUGGAAAGGAAAAAAAUUAUUUUUUACCUUUGGAAGACAAUCUGAUAGUGUAAGUAGAAAAUACAAAGUGAUCUACCAAGAGACCAAAACAAACAGCUAGAACUUAUUAGUGGUUUUAUCUGGUUCACAGACUAUAUGGUCAAUGUAUAAAAAUUAAAUUUGUUUCUAUGCAAUAGCAAUGAAUAAUUGAACAAUGAAAAUUCUUAAACAAUACUAUUUACAAUAGCAUAAAAACAUGAAAUAUUUACAAACAUAUUUAACAAAGCCUUACAUGUCUUCUAUGCCAUUAACAAUGAAACAUUUCUGAAAGAAAAAAAAAAACAUAAGAAGAUGGAGAGAGACAUGAUGUUCAUUGGCUGGAAGACAAUAUUGUUAAGAUACCAGCUCACCUCAAAUUAGUAUGUAGAUUAAGUUAAAUGCCAAUCAAAACACAGCCAGCUGUUUGUGUGAAAAAUAGUACAAAUACUUUGGAAAACUGACAGUUUCUCAUAAAUUUAAACAUACCCUACUGUAUGACUCAGCAAUCCCACUUCUACGUAUAUAUCAAAGAUUGAUGAAAAUAUGUCAACAAAAAUUACAAAAUGUUACACACAAACAUUCACAGUGACUUUGUUUAUAAUAGCCAACAAUUGGAAACAACCCAAAUGUCUAUAAAAGAAAAGUGGAUAAAGAAAUGGUGGUAUAUUCAUACAAUGGAAUAAAAACUUUAAGAUACAUGCAACAACAUGUGUACAUAUCAAAAACAUUGUAUUGCGUGAGAGAAGCCAGAAACAAAAGAGAAUGUGCUGUGAUUCCAUUUAUAUGAAGUUCAAAGCAGGCAAAAAUAAACUAUAGUAAUAAACAUCAGGACAGCGGUUGCCUCAGUGUGUGUGGGGAAAGUGGGUAGCAGGGGUCAGAAGUAAGGGGAGUUGGAUCCAAGGGCUUGAGGGAAAUUUUCUAUGUGAAGGAAAUAUUCUGUAUCUUGUUUGGGAUGGGGUAAAUGGAUUUGUAAAUUUGUCAAAACUUGUUAGACUGUGUACACUUAAGAUCUAUACAUUUCACUGCAUAUGGAUUACACUUGAAUAAAAUAUUAUAGAAUCUUUGUGGCAGCCAUGGCGCUCUUUCACUCAGAUACUCAUUCAAGAGUGACCCUGCCUUGAGGUAUGCAGUUAACCUAUAGCCUCACCUUUAGGAUGUGCUACAGCUUUGGGACUAAGGACAUGUUCUCUUCUGCAACUCCAGCCAGUGACUUAGCAUGGCCUGAGUAUUAGAGCCUGUCUAGUGAGAUACUCUCUUAAUGGGCAGUUUUGUCUAGAGCCCCCCCUUAGGACUAGCCACAAUGUUUUCAGAGCUGCAUUAUAGUCUGAGGCUCUUCCUAUCCAACUGUCCUUGCUUUCCCCUCUUUCUCAAGUUUCAGACUUGUUUCACGGUCUGAAGGGUUUUUUUGACCUCCUUCUGUUCCCUCUCACCUUUUUCUUUCACAGGCAUUAUGCUUAGUAAAUCUCUUCCAUGUCUAACUCCAUCUUGGCUUUUGACACAAACUGUCAAUUUAAAAAAAAUCUGUGAUAGAUAUGAGACUAAAUAUAUGUCAUAUCAUAAUUGUAUUGACAUAAUCCCAGAAAAGUUUUUUUUUUUUCACAAAGUAAAUCACAUUUAUGCCUUUAUGCUGGAUGCAACAGGCUCACCUAAAACACAUAUAUUUAAUGGUUGAAUAUAGAAUUGUCAACAAAGGCAAAUGUAAACAGAAAGCAGAAGUCAUGAUCAGAUUAGGCAGAAUUCAAGCCAAAACACAUUGAAGAAAG